GAUGAACGCUGGCGGCGUGCUUAACACAUGCAAGUCGAACGAUGAAGCUCAGCUUGCUGGGUGGUUUAGUGGCGAACGGGUGAGUAACACGUGAGUAACCUGCCCUUAACUCUGGGAUAAGCCUGGGAAACUAGGUCUAAUACCGGAUAGGACCGCCUACCGCAUGGUGGGUGUUGGAAAGAUUUAUCGGUUUUGGAUGGACUCGCGGCCUAUCAGCUUGUUGGUGAGGUAAUGGCUCACCAAGGCGACGACGGGUAGCUGGCCUGAGAGGGUGACCGGCCACAAUGGGACUGAGAGACGGCCCAGACGCCUACGGGAGGCAGAAGUGGGAAAUAUUGCACAAUGGGCGAGAGUCGGAUGCAGAGGCGCCGCGUGAGGGAUGACGGCCUUCGGGUUGUAAACCUCUUUCAGUAGGGAAGAAGCGAAAGUGACGGUACCUGCAGAAGAAGCACCGGCUAACUACGUG
rnacentral:rRNA from 1 species